rnacentral:lncRNA from 1 species
GUAUUAAACAAGAGAAUUUAGUAAAUAGGACAAUAGAAUUCAACUGGCAUACAAGUUUGGACACAGAAAUGAGAUUGUAGUGAAAAUUAGGAAUGUAAAGGACAUGAUGAAGAGUGAAACAAAGGAAUUGGAUUGAACCAAGGCAUGUUACCUUAACCUUAUAGCCAUUGGGCAAGGUAACUAAGUAUGGUAUUACUAGAGGCUUAAUGUCAAACAGAAGUUCUUUAUUGGAUGUCAUGUGGUCAGUGGCACCAGAGUCUAUAAUCCAGAUGCAAUCACUUACUUUGGUUAGCAUGCAAGCCCCAUAGGAAACAUUCUUUAAAUGAGUGGUUGGAGAAAAAUUACCAACAAAGUUGGCUGAGGCCAUAAGGCUGGACUGCUGCUUUGACUCUGCAAGUUGUGUCUGCUGAAGCAGCAACAUAAGCUGGGAAUACUGGUCUUUGCUUAAACCAGGUGUGAGAGACUCUGAAUCAGAAACCCAUUGAGAAUUGUCAACACUACUCUGAGUUCCAGCAGGGUUUGUAUACCCAUGCACUUCAACAUGUGCUGCACUCCUCCUUCCUUUGGUGAAUUUGAAGUCUGAUGGAAAUCCUCUCGUGAAUUUGAAGUCUGGUGGAAAUCCAUGAAGUUUAUAGCACUUUUCAAUCAGGUGUCCAGGUUUCUUACAAUACCUACACACCAAGUUUGCUCUAUUGGGAUCAGAAUUGAGUCUUGGGCUGAAAUGUUUAGGGUAACCACUUAUAGCAUUUUUCAAUCAGGUUUCCAGGUUUCUUACAAUACCUACACACUAGGUUUGCUCUAUUGGGAUCAGAAUUGAGUCUUGGGCUGAAUUAUUUAGGGUAACCAGCUGCUGUGGGAAAUCUUGUGAUGGAGGGUUUGUUGCUGAAAUGAGCAUUGAAGGCACUCGAAUCAUGAUGAAAUUGAGAAGGUGAAGAGACUUGUCUUUGUCUCUCAUCUUGGAGUAGAAUAUUGUAUGCACAAUCUAGAAUUGGUGGAGGUUGUAGCAUAAGAAUAUUGCUUCUGACUCCCACAUAGAUGUCAUUGAGCCCCAUAAGGAACUGGUGCAGUUGGAGGUUGUAGCAUAAGAAUAUUGCUUCUGACUCCCACAUAGAUGUCAUUGAUCUCCAUAAGGAACUGAUGCAGUUUGUUUUCACAUCCUCCCUUUGAAGCUCGGUUCAGGCAUUGCAUGUGCAAGUGUUGCCACGAGAUGCACGCAUGAAAUUCAGUUCAUCCCAUAGUUUCUUUAACUUGUUGAAAUAAGAAGCUAUAUCCAGAGACCCUUGAUUAGUUGAUGUCAGCUCCUGCUUAAUCUCAAAUAUCCUGGUUCCAUUUACAGUCAAAUAUCUACUAUUGAGUUGAUUCCAGAUGCUUUGAGCAGUGUCGGAAUACUGAACACUCUCGGCUAUCUCUGACGCAAGGGAAUUAGUAAGCCAAGAGAUAACCAUAUUGUUGCACCUAUCCCAUUGCCUAAACUGAGGAGAGUUUUCUGGAGGUUUGGGAAUCGUUCCGUCAAUGAAACAUAUUUUAUUGCACCUAUCCCAUUGUCUAAACAGAGGAGAGUUUUCUGGAGGUUUGGUAAUCGUUCCGUCAAUGAAACCUAUUUUAUUCCUAGCUGAUAAUGAGACGAUUAUAUUACGUCUCCAUCCCCCAAAACCAACCCCUGAAAAGUGGUUGCUCAUCAAAGAAAUUCCCGGAACAUCAGAAGACAAAAGAAACAAAGGAUUUGAGGGGUCGAUUACAAAAGUGUCAGUCCUAGACUCAGAUGUAUCACCAACAUUAACCAUUUUCGGACUGAGAAAAAGAUUUUUGGGGCUGAAAUUUAUAAGACUAAGAAACCCUAAGUGUUCGUAGGUAAAGAAUUACAGAAAUCAACUGUGAGAAAGGAUUUUGGGCCUGAAUUUUGUAAGACUAAGAAACCCUAAGUGCUCCUAGGUAAAAAUUCUAGAAAUCGACUAACUUCUAAGUUUGAACUGAUGAGAGAAGUAAUGAAACUCAGAGAAGCUCAGGAAAAUCAACAAUAACUGAAGGAUGAUGAGAAAAAUGGAGAAAAAGAGAAAAUCCUAAAUUUGUCGGAGAAGACUGAAAUUUUGACGAGAGACGGUGAGGGUAACAUCGCAACGGAGUCCAUGACAAGGGGAAUCAUAUUCCCCACUCUGAUACCAUGUUAAAAUCGACCAUCUCCAUGGAUGAACAAUAACAAUUUCAAAUGAUAGAGAGAGAAAGAGGAAGAAGCUUCUCAUUCAUCUGUAAAGAAAACGAGACUCAGUCUCUGUGUUCGUG